UACGGUGAUAUGACGUUGAAACACCGGUCCUCGUACGAUCACCAAAGUUAAGCAACGUCGAGCCUGGUCAGUAUCUAGUUGGGUGACCUCUUGGGAAUAAUAAGUGCUGUAG